UUGCUUCAGCAGCACAUACACUAAAAUUGGAACAAUACAGAGAAGAUUAGCAUGCCCCAUGUGCAAGGAUGUGCAAAUUCAUGAAAAAAAUACUUUAAAAAAUG